AUUGAUAGACUGUGAGGCCCACAACCCACACGUUCUUCUAUAUUCAUUUCCAACCACAGCAGAUUCAGCCAGACCAUCUUGAACUUUUAAAAAAUAUAUGUAGUUAACCGACUCAGUUAAAGCCCCGCCCACCUGCGUAACGUCUGCCUCGAGCUGAAUUCUACCUGCGCCAUUUUUCUUCAACUGAAAGAACUGCCGCCUUCAACGGUCAGGGAUGAGCACCCUCCUCUCCUCUCGUGGCUGUAUCAAGCACACGCUCAAUUAGCAUCGCAUGGGACUUUGGGGUCAGACAAAGAGACAUCAUCUAUCUCAAAAAGUGAAACAUCGUCUCUCCAGGAGCUGCAGUUAAUGAAGUGGAUCUCUAAGACAGCCCGACACCUCCAACCGCCACAGCACCAUGAAUAAAGUGCUAAUUGAG
rnacentral:lncRNA from 1 species